rnacentral:rRNA from 1 species
ACUUGAGUACUGGAGAGGCAAGGGGAAUUCCACGUGUAGCGGUGAAAUGCGUAGAGAUGUGGAGGAAUACCAGUGGCGAAGGCGCCUUGCUGGACAGUGACUGACGCUGAGGCACGAAAGCGUGGGGAGCAAACAGGAUUAGAUACCCUGGUAGUCCACGCCGUAAACGAUGAGUGCUAGGUGUUGGGGGUUCAUCCCCUCAGUGCCGAAGGAAACCCAAUAAGCACUCCGCCUGGGGAGUACGGUCGCAAGACUGAAACUCAAAGGAAUUGA